UCCCUGGAGGACUAGUGGUUAGGCCACAGCGCUCUCAUCGCCGUGGCCCGGGUUCGAUUCCCAUCCAGGGAA
rnacentral:tRNA from 1 species